UGAUGAUGAUGAUGAUGAUUGUUCUACUGUUGUGAAUGAAGUGGCACUUUGGACAUCUGUUGUCUUCAAACUUCAAACUUCUUAGAUAAUAGAUGUUUGAAGAACAACAGAUGUCCAAAGUGCGGAUUCUUUGGAAGCAGCCAGGAAGAAUUAUAUGAGAAUACCUUUAAUUUAUCGAACCUGUAGAAUGAGAUGUUCCACCGUUGGGUUAUCAUCUUUCAACCUCACUUUCCCUAAAUUUAUCAAUUCUAUUUUUCAACAGGAUGUAAUACAAUUAUAAAGACCGAUGGUUAUAACAGCUGAUCAUACUAAUGACUGUUAUAAUUAACCACUGCUCCUUAUAAAGAAUGAUGGACUUAAAUACUGAUGAGGCCUAUCCACUGAUGUAGACAAAUCUCUGUUAAAGUUCCAUGUGCUAAGGAUUGUUAUAACUAACCACUGCUCCUUAUAUAAUCUUCGUUCCAGUAUCAUUGUUCCAACAUCGUUGUUUCAAUGAAGCUUCCCAUCACACAUCAAUCUUUCAAUAUCGAUGUUGCAAUAUAAUUGUGUGCAACAUCGUUAAAGGUUGCAUGUGCUACCUUCUUUGAUGGUAGAGUUGUGGUUUCCCUUGAUAAUGAUGAUGAUGAUACUGAUGAUGAUGAUGAUGAUGUAGAAGCUGCAGUACUUCCUGCUAAAGUAUUUGGUCUUUCCUGCCUUCUUUGUAUUUAAAGAAGCAUAAAGUUUGUUUUAUCGCAGCUUUUUAUGAACAAAGUUAAGUAUCAAGUAUAUGAGGACAGGGCUACUCUUCCAUAGCUGAAGAAGUGUUUUCGUAUACUGCAUGUUGGUUUGUUCACGAGAGAUCAGGUUUCUAUAAAUCCUGCUGGAAAUGCAUUGAGUACUUCCACGGAGUUCAUGGCGAUUGUCGAAGAUAUACUUUGAUGGAGUUUAAAGCUAAAAGCACUAAAUUUUAAGCUAAAAGCAUUAAAUUUUGGUUGUUAGGUUCCUAAAUUUAUUGGUGUUGUUCUUAUAUUUUAAAUUGUAUGUAAUUUUGUAAAGUACAAUAACAAACAGUGGUUUAACAUCUGUUUGCAUUUUGGUCAAUAGAUAAUGGAAACCCAUGUUAGGUUGAACACUGUUUUUAAGUUAAACAUCUGUUAAGUGUUAAACAGAUGUUUGGCCUUUAACAUCUGUUUAUGGGCAAACAGCUGUUUAUGGCCAAACUUCUGUUUAUGAGCAAUCAUCUGUUUAUGCUCAGACCUUUGUUUAUGUUAACAGUGUUUAUAGUCUGUUUGGUUGAUAAAUGUUACCACCUCAGUGUUUUAUAUGUAACAAUUUAGUCACAACAAUGUUUAUAUGUAACAGUGUAUAUCCCAACAGUGUUUAUAUGUAACAGUAUUUAUCAAAUCCCUACAUUGAUUUGAUCU
rnacentral:lncRNA from 1 species